rnacentral:tRNA from 15 species
GGGCCGAUAGCUCAAUUGGCAGAGCAAUUGACUCUUAAUCAAUUGGUUGGAGGUUCGAGUCCUCCUCGGCUCA